AUAGUAACAUAACAGAGGAGAUACCAUGAUCACAGGGUGGUUUUCCCAGGGAGAAGCUUAUCCAUUGUACUCUGAAUGUGCUGACUUCUGUGAUUUCCCCAAAUGUAGGACAUUUAACUGCAGAAUCUGUGGUAGUGGGGGACUGCAUUUGUGCUCUCUCCGG